rnacentral:rRNA from 1 species
CCUACGGGAGGCAGCAGUGGGGAAUUUUGGACAAUGGGGGAAACCCUGAUCCAGCCAUCCCGCGUGAGUGAAGAAGGCCUUCGGGUUGUAAAGCUCUUUCGAAAGUGAAGAAAACUUAUUUCGUAAUAUGUUAUGAGUAUGACGGUAACUUUAGAAGAAGCACCGGCUAACUACGUGCCAGCAGCCGCGGUAAUACGUAGGGUGCGAGCGUUAAUCGGAAUUACUGGGCGUAAAGCGUGCGCGGGCGGUUUUGUAAGUCAGAUGUGAAAUCCCCGAGCUUAACUUGGGAACUGCGUUUGAAACUACAAGACUAGAGUGUGUCAGAGGGGGGUAGAAUUCCACGUGUAGCAGUGAAAUGCGUAGAGAUGUGGAGGAAUACCAAUGGCGAAGGCAGCCCCCUGGGAUAACACUGACGCUCAUGCACGAAAGCGUGGGGAGCGAACAGGAUUAGAUACCCUGGUAGUCCACGCCCUAAACGAUGUCAACUAGUUGUUGGUGGAGUAAGAUCCAUGAGUAACGUAGCUAACGCGUGAAGUUGACCGCCUGGGGAGUACGGUCGCAAGAUUAAAACUCAAAGGAAUUGACGGA